GGUGGCUCAGUGGUAGAGCGCUUGCCUUGCAUGCAUGAAUGAGACCCUGGGUUCGAUUCCCCAGCACCA
rfam:Dipodomys ordii contig_37936, whole genome shotgun sequence.